AGUGAACGCUGGCGGUAGGCCUAACACAUGCAAGUCGAACGGCAGCACAGUAAGAGCUUGCUCUUACGGGUGGCGAGUGGCGGACGGGUGAGGAAUACAUCGGAAUCUACUUUUUCGUGGGGGAUAGCGUAGGGAAACUUACGCUAAUACCGCAUACGGCCUACGGGUGAAAGCAGGGGAUCUUCGGACCUUGCGCGAUUGCAUGAGCCGAUGUCGGAUUAGCUAGUUGGCGGGGUAAAGGCCCACCAAGGCGACGAUCCGUAGCUGGUCUGAGAGGAUGAUCAGCCACACUGGAACUGAGACACGGUCCAGACUCCUACGGGAGGCAGCAGUGGGGAAUAUUGGACAAUGGGCGCAAGCCUGAUCCAGCCAUACCGCGUGGGUGAAGAAGGCCUUCGGGUUGUAAAGCCCUUUUGUUGGGAAAGAAAAGCAGCAGGUUAAUACCCCGCUGUUCUGACGGUACCCAAAGAAUAAGCACCGGCUAACUUCGUG
rnacentral:rRNA from 1 species